ACGAACGCUGGCGGCGUGCUUAACACAUGCAAGUCGAACGGAAAGGCCUCUUUCGGGGGGUACUCGAGUGGCGAACGGGUGAGUAACACGUGAGUAACCUGCCCUUGACUUUGGGAUAACUUCAGGAAACUGGGGCUAAUACCGGAUAGGAGCUCCUGCUGCAUGGUGGGGGUUGGAAAGUUUCGGCGGUUGGGGAUGGACUCGCGGCUUAUCAGCUUGUUGGUGGGGUAGUGGCUUACCAAGGCUUUGACGGGUAGCCGGCCUGAGAGGGUGACCGGCCACAUUGGGACUGAGAUACGGCCCAGACUCCGACGGGAGGCAGAAGUGGGGAAUAUUGCACAAUGGGUGGAAGCCUGAUGCAGCAACGCCGUGUGCGGGAUGACGGCCUUCGGGUUGUAAACCGCUUUCGCUCAUGACGAAGCUUUGUGUGACGGUAGUGGGUAAAGAAGCACCGGCUAACUACGUG
rnacentral:rRNA from 1 species